rnacentral:rRNA from 1 species
GCGAGUGAAGCGGCAACAGCUCAAAUUUGAAAUCUGGCCCCCGGGUCCGAGUUGUAAUUUGUAGAGGAUGCUUUUGGUGAGGUACCUUCCGAGUUCCCUGGAACGGGACGCCAUAGAGGGUGAGAGCCCCGUCUGGUCGGAUACCGAUCCUCUGUAAAGCUCCUUCGACGAGUCGAGUAGUUUGGGAAUGCUGCUCUAAAUGGGAGGUAUAUGUCUUCUAAAGCUAAAUAUAGGCCAGAGACCGAUAGCGCACAAGUAGAGUGAUCGAAAGAUGAAAAGCACUUUGAAAAGAGGGUUAAACAGUACGUGAAAUUGUUGAAAGGGAAGCGCUUGUGACCAGACUUGGGCCCGGUUAAUCAUCCAGCGUUCUCGCUGGUGCACUUGGCCGGCCCAGGCCAGCAUCAGUUCGGCGUGGGGGAUAAAGGCGGCGGGAAUGUGGCUCCUCCGGGAGUGUUAUAGCCCACCGUGUAAUACCCUGUG